rnacentral:rRNA from 1 species
CUGGCGGCAGGCUUAAUACAUGCAAGUCGAGCGGUCUCUUUCGGGAGACAGCGGCGGACGGGUUAGUAACGCGUGGGAACGUGCCCUUUAGUACGGAAUAGCCAUUGGAAACGAUGAUUAAUACCGUAUACGCCCUAUGGGGGAAAGAUUUAUCGCUAAAGGAUCGGCCCGCGUUAGAUUAGGUUGUUGGUGGGGUAAUGGCCUACCAAGCCUACGAUCUAUAGCUGGUUUGAGAGGAUGAUCAGCAACACUGGGACUGAGACACGGCCCAGACUUCUACGGAAGGCAGCAGUAGGGAAUCUUGGACAAUGGGCGAAAGCCUGAUCCAGCCAUGCCGCGUGAGUGAUGAAGGCCCUAGGGUUGUAAAACUCUUUCGCCAGGGAAGAUAAUGACGGUACCUGGUAAAGAAACCCCGGCUAACUCCGUGCC